UAUUGAAACUGUAGGCAUCAAUUACAAAAUAUUUUGAUUUUAUAGAUGGCAAUGCAUGUCGUUUUUUCACUUCAGAACGUUUAAUGAAGUCAGUUAUACAGCUCUUAUAAAACAGUUUUUAGUUGAUUCCCAAAUAUUAGCAGCAGCCAGAAUGUUUAUAAAAUUGUUUCGUAACGUUACUAGAAGGCUUUAUGAAAUUCCUACGGAGACAAAUGUAUUUUAUAAAAUGGUGCCAAUUUUACGCUAGUAGCUGUUGUAUACAAGCAUUGAAAACAUUUCCGAGACCAAGGAUAUUUUAUAACAUUACCAUUCAAAACGUUUUGGCAACAGUUACAAAAUAUGAAAUUGCUAGUUGGGGUGGCAGUCAACGUGUUA